ensembl:snRNA U1 U1 spliceosomal RNA
AUACUUACCUGGCAGGGGAGAUACCAUGAUCACAAAAGUGGUUUUCCAAGGGUGAGGCUUAUCCAUUGCACUCAGGAUGCGCUGACCCCAAUGAUUUCUCCAAAUGUGGGAAACUCAACUGCAUAAUUUGUGAUAGUGGGGGACUGUUUGUGUUCUCCCCUG